UUGCUGUAGCUCACAGUUACUCUACACUGCAGAUAUGACGCCUCUGUUCAUCUCAGUGCUGCUGGCUGCUAUGUGCCUCGAAUGCAGAGCACAAAAAGACAACGUGCUGCAAACAAAAGGAGAAGAGACUGCUGCUGCAGGAGGCACAGUAACACUUCACUGUCUCUAUAACAGCAGCACAACAACAGCUCCUUCUCUCUUCUGGUACAAACAGGAUGGAAACAACAGACCCAAAUUCAUCCUGAGUCGUGUUAGCAGGGAUGAUGGAAACACAGCAGAUGAGUUCAAGGAGAGAUUUUCAUCCACACUGGAUUCCAGCAUCAGAUCAGUUCCUCUGAAGAUCCAGAAGCUUCAGCUGUCUGACUCUGCUGUGUACUACUGUGCUCUGCAGCCCACAGUGACAGGAAACACCAAAACUCUGUACAAAAACCUUUGGAGCAAAGACAACAGAAUACUCCACAACAUCCACUAGAGGGAGCCACAUGCUGUUAAACUUCUCUGGUUUGUUUCAUUCAGUUUCAUUUGGCAACAGUGGGAAGGAAAAACUCCCUUUUUUACAUGAAGAAACCUC